CCUACGGGAGGCAGCAGUGAGGAAUAUUGGUCAAUGGGCGGGAGCCUGAACCAGCCAAGCCGCGUGAGGGAAGAAGGUACAGCGUAUCGUAAACCUCUUUUGUCAGGGAACAAAGGCGGGGACUAGUCCCCGGAUGAGGGUACCUGAAGAAAAAGCAUCGGCUAACUCCGUGCCAGCAGCCGCGGUAAUACGGAGGAUGCGAGCGUUAUCCGGAUUUAUUGGGUUUAAAGGGUGCGCAGGCGGCCUGUUAAGUCAGAUGUGAAAACCAUGGGCUCAACCUGUGGCCUGCAUUUGAAACUGUUUUUCUUGAGUACUGGAGAGGCAGACGGAAUUCCUAGUGUAGCGGUGAAAUGCGUAGAUAUUAGGAGGAACACCAGUGGCGAAGGCGGUCUGCUGGACAGCAACUGACGCUGAGGCGCGAAAGCGUGGGGAGCAAACAGGAUUAGAUACCCUUGUAGUC
rnacentral:rRNA from 1 species